CACAGGGAGGUAGUGACAGAAAAUAACAAUGCAGGACCCUUUGGGUACUGCAAUUGGAAUGAGAACAAUUUAAAUCCCUUAUCGAGAAACAAUUGGAGGGCAAGUCUGGUGCCAGCAGCCGCGGUAAUUCCAGCUCCAAUAGCGUAUAUUAAAGUUGUUGCAGUUAAAAAGCUCGUAGUUGAACUUUGGGCGCGGUGCAUCCGGUCGGCCGCAAGGCCGCACUGGGUCGCCAAGCCUCUCUCGGGGGACUCGUCGCCUCGGCGGCGGGGCAACCCAUGUUACUGUGAAGAAAUUAGAGUGUUUAAAGCAGGCUAUCGCUUGAAUACAUCAGCAUGGAAUAACAAGAUAAGGCACAAGUCUUCUUGUUGGUUUGGGGGCAUGUGUAAUGAUUAAUAGGGACAGUUGGGGGCAUUAGUAUUCAGUAGUCAGAGGUGAAAUUCUUGGAUUUACUGAAGACUAACUAAUGCGAAAGCAUUUGCCAAGGAUGUUUUCAUUAAUCAAGAACGAAAGUUAGGGGAUCGAAGACGAUCAGAUACCGUCGUAGUCUUAACUAUAAACGAUGCCGACUAAGGAUCGGCAAAAGUCAUUUUUGACUUUGUCGGCACUUUGUGAGAAAUCAAAGUUUUUGGGUUCUGGGGGGAGUAUGGUCGCAAGGCUGAAACUUAAAGGAAUUGACGGAAGGGCACCACCAGGAGUGGAGCCUGCGGCUUAAUUUGACUCAACACGGGAAAACUCACCAGGUCCGGACAUAGUAAGGAUUGACAGAUUGAGAGCUCUUUCUUGAUUCUGUGGGUGGUGGUGCAUGGCCGUUCUUAGUUGGUGGAGUGAUUUGUCUGGUUAAUUCCGAUAACGAACGAGACCUUAACCUGCUAACUAGUUGCGGGUACGCGAGUAUCCGAGACUUCUUAGAGGGACUGACUACGCUUAGUAGUCGGAAGUUUGAGGCAAUAACAGGUCUGUGAUGCCCUUAGAUGUUCUGGGCUGCACGCGCGCUACACUGACAAAGUCAGCGAGUAUGCCUUGGCCGAGAGGUCUGGGAAAUCUUGUGAAACUUUGUCGUGCUGGGGAUAGAUCAUUGCAAUUAUUGGUCUUGAACGAGGAAUUCCUAGUAAGCGCAUGUCAUCAGCAUGCGUUGAUUACGUCCCUGCCCUUUGUACACACCGCCCGUCGCUACUACCGAUU
rnacentral:rRNA from 1 species